UGGAGCAGUUCGAGUGGGAGGAGCUUGUGUUGAGGGCUGAACACUGAAGACUCGUUUCCAGCGAAGAGCCACUCCGAGUCCAAGUCUGAGCCGAGUCCACUUGGAAGCUCUGGCGAUUUCCAGCCCGUCCACAAGUCCACGCUAAGUGCAGGGCCGCACCUCUAGGACUGAACCAUGGAUGACGACUUUGAGCGGCGCAGGGAGAUGAGGAGGCAGAAGCGAGAGGAGAUGCGGCUGGAAGCAGAGAGGAUGGCCUUUCGGCGGAAUGAAGAGGAUGAGGAGGAGGCAGCUCGUGAACGCAGACGAAGAGCGCGUCAAGAGCGUCUGCGCAGCAAAGAGAGCGAGGAUGCACCAAAUCCGCCCGAGAGUGUGGAGCUACACAACAGCCACAGUGUGACUGUCACAGAGACAGUGUCCAGCUCAGUGGUCAGCUCAAGCCAGGCUGGUGAAGGAGAUGAUGAAGAGCAGGCCCUGCUGGAGCGCCUGGCCAAACGGGAAGAGCGCAGACAGAAAAGGAUGAAGGAGGCACUAGACAGACAGAAGGAGGUAGAGUCCACUGACUCCUCCCACUACAGCAUCGAGGAACACUCCAGCACCCGCCGCACCUUCCACCAUGGCCUGGAGGAGCAGCCAGCAGUCAACAGCAAAGAGCAGGAGAAAGAGAAGGCGGAGGAGGAGGAGGCUGCACAAGAGGAGGAGGAAGAGCAGAAAGAAGAAGAGGAGGUGGUGGAGGAGAAGCCAAGGAGGUCUUACCUGAGAGAGCAGGAAUCCACUGAGGAAAAACCUAAAAUAGAAGAUGAGGGCAGUACUGAGCAGGAUGCUGUAAGUGAAAAGUGUGAGACUUUAAAUGAAGACACAACUGAUUCCACAGUCAUUUCAAAGCACGAAGUGGAGGAGGACACUGCAAAAGUCAUUGAGGAUGUAGAGGAAAUAGAGGAGAAUGAGUUAGAGGCGCUUACGCAGAACGCAGCUGAUGAAAUGCAGACAGCUGACUCUGAGAAACCAGAGAGAGAGUUUGCAAACAAUGAUUUAGGUUUGAUGGAGGAUGAAGAUGUGGGAAGGAAGAGCAAACAGCAGAACGGAGGAGUGUAUGAGGACAGCAAGCACAAGAAGGUGGAGAGAACCCAGAGCCGUGGCAGCUUGCGCUCUCCCGAAGUUCCGGCAGCAGAGGAUCUGGACAGUGAGGGAGCGCGUCUGGAAGCCGAGAGGAAGCUGGAGGAGCUGAAGAGGAGGAGAGACGAGACAGAGAGCGAGGAGUUUGAGAGGAUGAGGCAGAAGCAGCAGGAAGCUGAGGCUGAGCUGGAGGAGCUGAAGAGGAAGAGGGAGGAGAGGAGGAAGAUACUGGAGGGAGAGGAGAAGCAGAGGAAGCAAGAGGAAGCUGAGAGAAAGGCUAGAGAGGAGGAGGAGAAGAGGAGGAUGAAGGAAGAGAUAGAGAGGAGGAGAGCAGAGGCAGCUGAGCGGAGGCAAAAGGUUGAGGAGGGCGUAGAUGGAGACACCAGGAAGCCCUUUGUGUGUGUGAGCCCCAGAGGAUCCUCCCUGAAGAUUGGUGAAAGGGCAGAAUUUCUCAACAAGUCAGCGCAGAAGAGUGCUGUCAAGACAUCUCACUCUCCCGUGGUGUCAAAGAUCGAUAACCGAUUGGAGCAGUACACCAGUGCUGUGCAGACUAACAAGGAUGCACGUUCGCCACGAGCGGCCGCCAUAGAUCUGCCCACGGUUUCUGAUGGCAUUCGGAGCAUUAAAAGUAUGUGGGAGAAGGGCAAUGUCUUCAGCUCCAGCACCAGCACACCUUCCAGCAACAAGGAUGCAGCUGGGAUAAAGGUGGGCGUGGCUGGCCGCAUCAACGAUUGGCUGAAUAAAACUCCGGAGACAGGCAAAACAUCAGGAGGGAGACCUGCGCUAAGCUUCCCCCCCUGUCGUGUAGAGCAACAUCUUAGCAUUGCUUUCCUCAGGCUGUUCUUCUGUUCCUUCUUCUUCUCUGUCUGUGCUGAGUAGCAGGACCUGAAACCUGGCGAUGUGACUGGCAAACGUAGUCUAUGGGAAAACAAAGGCUCCUCUGCUACCAAGGUGACAAGCAGAGGAGAGACCAAAUCUGUUGCCAAUGGAACGGGCCACUAACUUUUAAAGAAGCCACAGCACCAGGGACCAAGAGAAAGCACCAUCUUCCUGUUUUUUAUAUGCAUUUACUCAUACCAAAAAUAAUCUUAUGCAUUUCUCACUGCCCAGAAAUCUCAGAGAAGAGAGAAAAAGAAAGAGCAGGGUUUUAUUUUUACCACUGCAUGUUGCAUAGUUCUAAUUACAGCGUAGCGCUUAGCAUAAAGCCUUUUUAUACUAGAAACUAGUCUGCAGUGUGAGCAUUUAGAAAGACCUGCAUACAGAGAAAACAGUUAUCAAAAGACCCAAAGUUGUUUUUUUUUUUUUUUUUAAGAUAAGAAUAGAUUAAGUAAGGCAACCUAUUUAAAUGGCCCGUUAUUUCAUGUCAUGUUAAACAUGUUUCUUUUUUGGUUUGUUUUUCUUUAAUGUUCUUCUCUGCUAGUCACCCUUCACACUUUUUAAUUUAUAAUUAAAGCAAAGCAAAGCUUCACGUACUGGUAUUUUAUUCAUGUUCACCAGUCCAGGGCAGACUAUGAGCACCCAUAGAGUAGUGUAUUUUUUACGUUUGUCAUAAUGACACUUUUUUAAUAGUGAAACUACGGUCUUAAUAAUAUAUGUUAGCACAUAGUGUAUGUUUUUGUAAUUAACUAUAUAUUUUAUAUGUUGCCGCUUUAUACAAGAUGAUGUCCUUGCUUUUGCUCUCAGUACUAUAUGUUGAAUCAAGUUUAAACUCAUUAUAGACAUUCCAUGAUUAUUAUUCCAAUUUUUUUCUCAUUCACUGAUGUUUCGAGCGCUUUUUUCAAUCAGUGUAGUCACGAUAUUAUCUGAUUUCUAAUGGACGUAAAGGCUUCGCUCUGCACUGAAUAAAGGGAAUAUACACUUCUUGAGCAAAAUGAAAAACUGAAAAAAAAAGACCUGUGGCUUUCACAAGCAUUUGUUUGCAAUUAAUGCUUAAUCUGCUACAAAUCUUCAGUUGCCAUUAUCGUUAUCAAAAAGCACAUAUGCUCAAUAUGUUAGGGGACGGGGGAUGGCUUAGAGCCAUUACUGAGGACCAGUGUUGUUUCUGUCGUCUGCUUGUUUUGUUUUUGUUUUUUCUCAGCACCAAUUUAUUUAGACUAUAACACUAUUUGACUUUGGCAACUACAGAGUGGGACAGGCUGGUGGGCUGGUAGUCAGUGGCCUGUCAUGUGACUGGCAGCCUGUGUAUUUCUGGCUUUUUUGGAAGAAAACGAGUAUGUUCUCCCCAGAUCAGUGAUGUGAUGAUGAUGAUGUGUUUUAAAAUGUGAACAGUUCUGUGUUCUGGUCUUAAUUUUGACAAUCAUUGACACAAUGUGGCAAAGUUAUCUAUCGCAACUGCUAUUUUUCCAUGUUGAAUUAUUGACAUUAUCAUAAACAGUUCUGUUUAGAAUCGGGGCAACUCUAUGCAAACCACACCAUUACCUUGUCAUAACUUUGACCGUGUUUAUUGUAGCCUGUAGUGUCAUACGGAACAACUUUUUACAUGUUAUAGCAUUGACUCCACAACUGCAAUAAAGAGAUCAAUGUAAAAACCUCA